GUGAAUCAUCGAAUUUUUGAACGCAUAUUGCACUCUCUGGUAUUCCGGAGAGUAUGCCUUUUUGAGGUUAACUAAAAAGAAUCUUUAACCAAUUUUUUGGUCAAAUGAAAUGAGUUCUCCGCGUUUAUAGCGAUAGCUCUAAAUAAAUGGUCAAGUCUCAUUUUAGUCGAGUCGCGUAAUAAUAUUAUUUGGCGAAAUCUUCAUUAUGUGACUAUCAAAUUUUGAUGCAUACAAAGUUUGUUUUUAUGCGAUCAAUACAAAUAUUUUGAACAUUACCUCAAAUCAGGUAGGAGUACCCG
rnacentral:misc_RNA from 1 species